GUCAUAUGCUUGUCUCAAAGAUUAAGCCAUGCAUGUCUCAGUACAAGCCAAAUUAAGGUGAAACCGCGAAAGGCUCAUUAAAUCAGUUAUGGUUCCUUAGAUCGUACCCACAAUUACUUGGAUAACUGUGGUAAUUCUAGAGCUAAUACAUGCAAACAGAGCUCCGACCGGAGACGGAAGGAGUGCUUUUAUUAGAUCAAAACCAAUCGGUGGCGGGUUCGCUCGUUAUCGUACAACUUGGUGACUCUGAAUAACUUUAGGCUGAUCGCACGGUCAUCGCACCGGCGACGCAUCUUUCAAAUGUCUGCCUUAUCAACUGUCGAUGGUAGGUUCUGCGCCUACCAUGGUUGUAACGGGUAACGGGGAAUCAGGGUUCGAUUCCGGAGAGGGAGCCUGAGAAACGGCUACCACAUCCAAGGAAGGCAGCAGGCGCGCAAAUUACCCACUCCCGGCACGGGGAGGUAGUGACGAAAAAUAACGAUACGGGACUCAUCCGAGGCCCCGUAAUCGGAAUGAGUACACUCUAAACCCUUUAACGAGGAUCAAUUGGAGGGCAAGUCUGGUGCCAGCAGCCGCGG
rnacentral:rRNA from 1 species